rnacentral:ribozyme from 12 species
UUAGAAGAAAAAACAAAAAAGAAGAAGAAGAUGUUUGGGUUUGGAAGGCGAAAGUCCAAGGUCAAGGAGUAAUUAGUAUCUUGUGUGUGUUUUUUGUUUUUGUUUUCUUAAUUCCGAGUUGUGUGAGUUUUGUA